rnacentral:tRNA from 1 species
GGAUGAGUUCCCGAGUGGCUAAAGGGGGCAGACUGUAAAUCUGUUGCAUUCGCUUCGAUGGUUCGAAUCCAUCCUCAUCCACCA